UCCAUGGCGCAAUUGGAUAGCGCGUCUGACUACGAAUCAGGAGGUUCUGGGUUCGAGUCCCAGUG
rnacentral:ncRNA from 15 species